ensembl:lincRNA
UGUCUCUAUUUGUCCCCCUAGAGCUUCAUGGCUCUUGGGCCUGGCUUUGGAAGGUGACUGGACUGUGAGGGUGUUAUAGCUGACUUUCUGUUAGGAGGCAGGGCUAGUUGGAAGAGACAACUGAGAGUGUGAUCCAGAGGGUCUUUCUUCCUCCCUACCUCAUUCCUUCCCUCUCCAAUUCCUGGCUGCUACGAGGUGUCGACCAUACCUUUCUGUAUUGGAGUGGGGCAACUUGUGCCAAAAUAAACUUCUCCUUUAAAUUGUGGGUGUCAGGUAUUUUGUCCUGGUGACUGGGUGUGAGAGAAAAUUCAAGCAUGGCUGAGCCAAGUGCGCCACAUGCACAUCUCCUACCAGAAUAGGGGAUACUCAGAAGUCUGAGCAUGCUCACUCUCAUGCAUUGCGACUGGUUUAGAGCUGGCUGAAGGACAUCCUGUUCCUCCUAUCCACUGUCUCCAUUGCUAGCCCAAAAGAUCAACCAAUCUUGUUAUGCCCUGUAUGCAGUGUCCCACCCCUUGUUCCUAGACUAUAUAAGAGCUUGCUCUGCCUAUCAAAAAUGGAAGCGUUGCAGAAACCUCGCUGGAGUCGGCUUGGUGGUUCUGCGCCUCACCCUCCCUAUCUGAGCUUCAGAACCAGAGCACAAACAGACAAACAACAAGUGUUGCCCAAAUUGGGGCUCCUGUAUAUCAGGAACAUACUGAAGCGUCGGGCUCCCUCUAAUGACAAACAAAGGAAAGACUCACUUCAGGGACAAAGCAAAGACGGCGGCUCCUCCUCCCCAGGGCAAAAUGGAAGUUGUUGUUCCUCACUUUCACUUUCUCCUUUGGAUGUGGCCUCUGCCUCUGGGCGGAAGAUGAAGAUUCUGCCACCCCACCCAAACCCCCCCGCGUUUUCAGGAAGUACGUCAUCUCACGGAGGCCGUCUCUUCCGGUCCAUUAUGGCGGCCCCCACCAUGCGUGCGGCCAUAUUACCGAUCUCAUGAUUCCUCCUCCUCCUGGUCAGAUAGCGAGGAGCCACUAUCCUCCAGUGAUGAUGAUCCUUAUUUGAAUGAUGCCUGCUUCCAAAACAUGUUUAAAAAAUCUGAAAAAAGGACCCCACUUCUCCGGGCCUAUCCUGUCACUAUGGGCGGCCCUGGGGUGACACCCUGGAUCCCCCUUCUGUCAGGCAAAUAUGGGCCCUGUCCCUAACCUCCCUAUUUUUGUUACAGUGGAUUGGAAUUCUGUUCUUCCCCGUGUGUUUGGCAAUGAUUCCACCUUUCAUCCUUCCUUGAUUGAGGGUGAUUUUUCUCUUCUAGAUUCAGCGGAUGUAAGCGGCCCAUAGUCUUCAGUCUGCCUUUCCUUGCUUUAGGUGCCAAUGCUUUCUUCGAUGCUAAUAUUUCCUUCUGUCUUACUAAUACCUCUGCUUCGUUCCUCCCCAGCAGUACUGUUUUACCAUUCACAGCCCGUCUUCUGUUGCCAUUUUUCUUCAUCAUAAACAAUUCCUCUCUCAAGCUCAAUGAUACUGUCUCUGUCUCCUCAUGCGUCUAUCCAGCAAUGUUCGCUAAUAAAACCUGGUACCUCUAUUUUGGCUGCCCCCCCCGAACAAUUUGGUUGCCCGUAAAUCUUAAGGUGAAUGGUGAGAAUCUGGCCCCCUCUUCGUCCUAAUGCUUCAUCCAUGACAUCAGCAAGAUCUAGGUGUAGCUGCCAAUCGCUGC